rnacentral:rRNA from 1 species
AGUGAACGCUGGCGGUAGGCCUAACACAUGCAAGUCGAACGGCAGCACAGGAGAGCUUGCUCUCUGGGUGGCGAGUGGCGGACGGGUGAGGAAUACAUCGGAAUCUACUUUUUCGUGGGGGAUAACGUAGGGAAACUUACGCUAAUACCGCAUACGACCUACGGGUGAAAGCAGGGGACCUUCGGGCCUUGCGCGAUUGAAUGAGCCGAUGUCGGAUUAGCUAGUUGGCGGGGUAAAGGCCCACCAAGGCGACGAUCCGUAGCUGGUCUGAGAGGAUGAUCAGCCACACUGGAACUGAGAAACGGUUCAGACUCCUACGGGAGGCAGCAGUGGGGAAUAUUGGACAAUGGGCGCAAGCCUGAUCCAGCCAUACCGCGUGGGUGAAGAAGGCCUUCGGGUUGUAAAGCCCUUUUGUUGGGAAAGAAAUCCAGCUGGCUAAUACCCGGUUGGGAUGACGGUACCCAAAGAAUAAGCACCGGCUAACUUCGUGCCAGCAGCCGCCGUAA